rnacentral:lncRNA from 1 species
GGUCCCUUCCGUUAAGUAUAUGCUAACAGCGUUAAAUGUUAAGUGACUGUGUAUGUCAUGUAAGCAAGAAAUGUGAUCGUGACAAUAAAGUGGACUAUAGUAAUUGACGUGGCAGCAAAUAAAUCCAUUAAGUAUUUUUAAAUUCACAACCCUCACAGGACAACUCUCCGACGACCGGUGAACAUCCACCACACUCACACUCUCCC